UACGUAGGGUCCGAGCGUUGUCCGGAAUUAUUGGGCGUAAAGGGCUCGUAGGCGGUUUGUCGCGUCGGGAGUGAAAACACGGGGCUUAACCCCGUGCCUGCUUCCGAUACGGGCAGACUAGAGGUAUGCAGGGGAGAACGGAAUUCCUGGUGUAGCGGUGAAAUGCGCAGAUAUCAGGAGGAACACCGGUGGCGAAGGCGGUUCUCUGGGCCGUUACUGACGCUGAGGAGCGAAAGCGUGGGGAGCGAACAGG
rnacentral:rRNA from 1 species